rnacentral:tRNA from 1 species
UGGCUCAGUUGGUAAAGCAUGGCGCUUGCAACGCCAGGGUUGUGGAUUCGAUUCCUAC